UACAGAGGUCUCAAGCGUUUGUUCGGAUUCAUUGGGCGUAAAGGGUGCGUAGGUGGCGUCGUAAGUCAGGUGUGAAAUCUCGGGGCUCAACCCCGAAACUGCACUUGAUACUGCGAUGCUUGAGUAUUGGAGAGGAGAUUGGAAUUUACGGUGUAGCAGUGAAAUGCGUAGAUAUCAUGAGGAAUACCAGAGGCGAAGGCGGCUCCCUGGACAAUAGCUGACACUC
rnacentral:rRNA from 1 species